ensembl:lincRNA Gm32736 predicted gene, 32736
GGGAGACAGGAUGAAUUUGGACCGUGGGAGGCAAUCUCUGGGACUUCUGUUCCUAAGAUCCAGGAUCCCAUCCAGGGAAUGGCGCCAACUCAACAAACUGAUUUCCAAGAUAAUUCCGACUAGGCAUGCCCAGAGACCCUUCUCCAUGUGAAUCUAGAUUCUGUCAGGUAGAUAGUUAACAGUACCCAUCACCGUGGAUAUACAAAGAAGCACGGACAUUAACGUCCGUCCUAAUGAUUGCUAUCAUGACGGGGCGUUGACGUAUGUGAAGUUGGCUAUACUCAAUUUGCAUUUCUAUCUUUCCUACGGAAUAGAGAGACUUCAUCAGGCUUCCUCUUAGUUGCUAAAGACACUGAACCUGCAGAUGACUCUCCACGGCCUAGGAGAGCUCCCUUGAGCCCUUUCUAGCCUCUCUAUCCACAGAGUGAAUGUGGACAGAAACGGAGAGGUCCCAUCCUCAGUGUGACCUUGAGAUGACCUUCUGGUGAGUUCACCAAGUAGAGUGCUUGACUUACUGCAGCCCACAGUCCAUUGUCCCACGGAAGACCUGCUGGAGAGCCCACUACAAGACACCGGAGUGGUUCCCCUCAGCUUUCUUUGAGAGACUUCUCAAAAGGUGUAGCAGAAUGUAGCUGGUUUGAUCUCCUGCUCAGGGAUCGAGCUGCCUACAGAGCUGCAGCGCACAGAGGAAAUGGUGCAGGGUCAGGCUCUGGCCUGUCUGCCUCAUGAGUGUACUUCCUGUGUUUGGGAGGAGGCAGCCCCACACCAUAAAACCUCCUUGAAAGCCACAGAGCUACCUCUCUGAAACUAUAAUGGACUUUACAGAAAGCCCAGCUUUGACGGAUGUGAGGUCUGGGAGUCUACCAAGGCAAGGAUCUGGGCAUCAAGGAGACGGAAGAAGCUGAUGACCCAGAGUAGGGCCAAGCUGUUUACCAGCAGGUGUGUGUUUUAGAAAAUCUCCCUUAACUGGUCAUGGCAGCGGAAAAUACCCUGCUGUUAAACGCAUCUGCAAUCCGCUGCUUUCCCAGUCCACCUACAAAAAUUUUGACCUUUAAAGAAAUGAUGGAGAAGCUGGUGAUUUUUCCCUUGGCAUUGAAGCUCAGUCUAUUUCAGGCUCCUGGGCAAUUGCAGCCCUCUCUGCUCCCAAUCUCACCUCACUUUUAAGCCUCGUUCCAGCCACUCUGAACCCUUCAGCACUUUCAGCCCUGCAAUCACACAAGUUAAGAUCUGUGAUGUGUGAUUUGCAGAUGACACGUCCGUUUCUCCGACUGAUGGUUGCUGAAGCCGCUUGCAGGCCUGAGGUAGGGGAAGGCGGAAGAGCAUUUCACAGUGGCAGCUCUGUAAGGCCAACCCCAAGUUUCUAGUCUCCUGCAGAUGGGUAACCAUUUUCUCAUUAUUUUGAUUGUGGAGAAGGUAGCUCCUUAUUCCUAUUAGUGUGGAUUACCAUAUUCAUGCUUGAUAACCAACCAAUUGACUUAUUUCUAGUGCUUCUUGUUCCCGUUGUUUGGGUCACUUUACAAACCCAGGUGUGGAGGAGGCAGGGUGUUAAUAACCCAAGCCCCUCCCCUCCCCCACACACAAACACAAAAUGGAAAUCUUAGGUUCCUGUAAUGACAAUCUGUUUCGGGGAUGCAUGGGGGCCUUAAUGAGCUUUCUGAGCAUUAGAGCAAUGACAGUUGCAUUCUGGGCCGUCUUUCAUUGAACUAUCUACAAAAUAUGCAAAUGAGCAAAUCUUGGUGAAAAGUUAUUUCGGUGUCAUUUGUGGAAAGAUUCACUGACUCAGAAAAGACCAUCUUAAUGAAAGCUCGCCUUAUUUGACUUUUUAAGCAGACAUGAUACGUAUAUGAAUGUAAUAUGAUUUGAAAGACACAUUAAUGAGACAGCAGUCAGAAGGAUUAUGGAGGGGCUGUGUUCACACAGCGAGGAAAGCCAAAUGGGUGUAUCAAGUACCCAUUCCUAAUCUUCACUAGCAAAUUUAUUGAAGUGUCUCAAUUUUGCCACACACCCUAACAUCUGCAUAUGGGCCCAGGCUCUUAAUCCUGUCACACUGUGCAGAUGUAGAUUAGGAGAAUGUAUUACCAAUGCCCCUGUCGCCCCCCAUAAAUAUAGGCUGCUAAGUCAAGUGUGGCUUUAUGCAGAAACCCCUUGUCUUAAGCAGAUUUUGCAGUAACUACUGCUCAAAUUCCGAAAAAUUAAAACAAAAACCCCCCAGUGAUGGCCUCUGGUACUUUCUUGCUUUAUUUAAUAAGAGACAAUUUAUCCGUGAGAGGGAAGGGUUUCAGAAGCAAAGGGAAAGACUGCAGACCGAUGAAGACCCACCCUGCCGUGCAUGAGACAUGGGACUAGGUGUUUAGCGUGCUUUGUCCCCUUUAACAUUAUAGAGAAGUGUUCUCUGAGUGUUCUGAGCUGAGGUUCCACCCAGUGCUUCAACCUUUAAUGUCUGUGUCUUCUGUUCCUUGCUAAUGCUCUUGGCCAGUGUUUGAGUGAGAAUCUCUUUAGAACGCUUCAGAAGGAGUCAGAGAACUUUGCAAGUCCCCACAUCUACCAUCUUCUACAGGAAAAGCAGUAGAGAACAAGGUUCUGAGUACCCAGUUGCAUGAUUAGCUUGCUGCCUAGUGCCAGCACCUCAGACUCAUGCCUCAGCAACCUUACUAAUUAUUCCGUGCUGUGGACUUUCAGGGUCACUUAAGAACAUUAAAAACAAUGAAUGU